rnacentral:rRNA from 1 species
UACACACCGCCCGUCACACCAUGGGAGCGGGAUGUACCAGAAGUAGGUAGGCUAACCGCAAGGAGGCAGUCGACCACGGUAGGGUCAGCGACUGGGGUG